GCCUGGUUAGCUCAGUUGGUUAGUGCGUGAUGCUGUUAACGCCAAGGUUGCAGGUUCUAUCCUCGCAUGGGACA